rnacentral:rRNA from 1 species
GACGAACGCUGGCGGCGUGCUUAACACAUGCAAGUCGAGCGGUAAGGCCCUUUCGGGGGUACACGAGCGGCGAACGGGUGAGUAACACGUGGGUGACCUGCCCUCAGCUCUGGGAUAAGCCUGGGAAACCGGGUCUAAUACUGGAUAUGACUCCAUGACGCAUGUUGUGGGGUGGAAAGCCUUGUGCGGCUGAGGAUGGGCCCGCGGCCUAUCAGCUUGUUGGUGGGGUGAUGGCCUACCAAGGCGACGACGGGUAGCCGGCCUGAGAGGGCGACCGGCCACACUGGGACUGAGACACGGCCUAGACUCCUACGGGAGGCAGCAGUGGGGAAUCUUGCGCAAUGGGCGAAAGCCUGACGCAGCGACGCCGCGUGAGGGAUGACGGCCUCGGUGUAAC